CAUGCAGUCGAGGGGCAGCAUCAUCAAAGCUUGCUUUGAUGGAUGGCGACCGGCGCACGGGUGAGUAACACGUAUCCAACCUGCCGACAACACUGGGAUAGCCUUUCGAAAGAAAGAUUAAUACCGGAUGGCAUAAUUAUUCCGCAUGGGAUAAUUAUUAAAGAAUUUCGGUUGUCGAUGGGGAUGCGUUCCAUUAGGCAGUUGGCGGGGUAACGGCCCACCAAACCUACGAUGGAUAGGGGUUCUGAGAGGAAGGUCCCCCACAUUGGAACUGAGACACGGUCCAAACUCCUACGGGAGGCAGCAGUGAGGAAUAUUGGUCAAUGGACGAGAGUCUGAACCAGCCAAGUAGCGUGAAGGAUGACUGCCCUAUGGGUUGUAAACUUCUUUUAUACGGGAAUAAAGUGAGCCACGUGUGGCUUUUUGUAUGUACCGUAUGAAUAAGGAUCGGCUAACUCCGUGCCAGCAGCCGCGGUAAUACGGAGGAUCCGAGCGUUAUCCGGAUUUAUUGGGUUUAAAGGGAGCGUAGGCGGGUUGUUAAGUCAGUUGUGAAAGUUUGCGGCUCAACCGUAAAAUUGCAGUUGAUACUGGCGACCUUGAGUGCAACAGAGGUAGGCGGAAUUCGUGGUGUAGCGGUGAAAUGCUUAGAUAUCACGAAGAACUCCGAUUGCGAAGGCAGCUUACUGGAUUGUAACUGACGCUGAUGCUCG
rnacentral:rRNA from 1 species